UGUAUAACGAUAUUUCUUCCCCUUCGCACUCCCAGCAAGCCAGCACUUCUCCUGAGCUGACUGCGCCUUCUCCUUCAGGCUCUGUUUCCCGGUGAGCGUCUCCCUCCUCCUCUGCUCACCCAGUUCGUCUUCCUUUUCCUUCCCCCUCUGCAGCUUAGGUUCAUCGCAUUCUCGAUUCUUCCGAGUCCAUGCUCCUCCGAUGGCCUCUGUUUCGUCACCACGAUCUCCACUUCGAUUGCCAAUCAGUCCGCGAUCCGUCGGCGAAUUCCACUACCGUAAAGGUUCACGGUGUCCUGUUAUGUUAGGAACAGUAGCAGUACGAGUCAGAUGGAGAAUGGUUUCAAGGAGAACGAGGAAAAGCAGGCACGGGCUGAUUCUUGUGAACACGAUGUGUGCUGUUAACUUGCUGGUUCAGAGAUUGCUGCUGAGCAUGAGAGAGUUUUGAUUCCUGCCAAUGUGAUGAUUCAGUUAGGCUAGUUGUGGCUUCAGUUGAGUAGUGACAGUUUCUGCAUCUCUCUUAGGGUCAUGCUGAGAAACCUCCUCCAUUGACCUGGCAACGGAAGCUAAACUGCGGGGAAAAGUAUCCUUCAAUAUUUACAUUGAGGCUUCAAUAGAUUUUUCGAUAAUAAAAAGAUUAAAAACUUUAUGGGAAAAUUUCAUAAAGCAGGCAUGGGUUGAUUCUUCUGAACAUGAGGUGUGCUGUUAACUUGCUGGUUCAGAGAUUGCUGCUGAGCAUGAGAGAGUUUUGUUUUCCAACUAUUCCCUGGAAUCUUAGAGGAUGUUCCCAUUUUAGGAAACCAGUUCUCUGCAAUUUUGCUUCUCUAGAAUUGACUGACUCUCAUACUAUAGGCAUUAUUAUAAAUCAAAGCCUAUUUGCUGGUACUUUACUAGUUGGGGUCAACAAAAAUGAUAAUUACUUCAUGAAACCAGACUACAGAGGAGUAUAAGAAACACUUCAUAUUAAGAACAAUACCUUGAUAAAGUACUUCCAUUAUGCAUCUAUUUCUUGAUUGUCUCAAAUUGGCCUGUCAUUUCACAGUGUAACAAUACUGUGAUAAUAAAAUUCCAAAUAUUAUCAUCUUACCAACAGCUCUCUUUCUUCAAUCACAAAUGUUCACUGAGAGGACUUUUUGGUCUCCAUUGUAGUUCUUACGAAUUUUAUUGUGAUAAGCAUAGGAUUUUGCCUCUGUAAAUGUCCAGUAGAUACAAUAAAUAGAAUUGUUUGCAAUUCAUGUUAUGGAAGAUCAUAUGAAGGCCUCUCUGUAGUUCCUGUCAGUGCAUAAGAUUUUGUACAAUCUGAACCUUCUGAUGUAAAUGCAUAAUGAUUAUGCCGGAAGGCUGUAUCUUAUGAUGUACGUAAACUGUGAUUCCGUGAUUAUUACAUUUUUUACCGAGCAACAGAGAUUUUUUCACCAUAUGUUCUUACUCCAGGUUUUUGUUUCACGUCUAAAUGGUAAAAUAGUUUCCAGUGUACUGUGCUCACGUAGCUCUCAGUUGCCAAAGUAAGCUCCUGGCUGUUGUAGGUAGUAUAUAAAAUUUAUGAAUUUUUAAUUCUUAUUGAAAUCUGGAGGGUAGUUAUCGAUUGCUCUUGGAAUGGCACAGAGCGAGUGCGGCUUCGGGAAUCGGAUGUUGGGAUUGGAACCUGAAUGGGGACAAAAGUAUUUACCAUGCUUUGUUUCCACGGUCAUGGACGGUCUAUGAUGGUGAACCUGACCCUGAACUUCGAAUUGUUUCCCAUCAAAUAUCUCCAUUUAUACCUCACAAUUACAAGGAAAGCAGCCUUCCUGUCUCUGUAUUUACAUUUACGAACUCUGUUGGGGGAGUCUCGGGAUCUUCGGGUCGACAUUUCAACUCUAACAUGCUAGUCAGGGAUGGAGUGCAUGGGGCGUUGUUACAUCACGGGUAUAUUCUUCCAUGUAGACAGUAAUAAUAAUCUUGGUUUGUGAUUAUCAGCCAAAAUGUCUGGCUGAUGCAGGUUCCUCCUUGCAGAACAGCAAAUGGACAUCCGCCGGUUACUUUUGCCAUUGCUGCCAGAGAAACAUCAGAUGUUCACAUCUCUGAAUGUCGUUCUUGAUAUCUGGUGAUUCUCAAUGUCUCACUGCAAAAGAUAUGUGGUUUGAAAUUAAGAAGCAUGGAACAUUUGACCACGUCGACUGCAAAAAAAACCUCUAAGCAUUCAGAACCAGGAUCAUCAAUUGGAGCCGCUGUAGCAGCCUCUGUAACUGUUCCUCCUGGCUGUGUCCGUACAGUCACAUUUUCGCUUGCAUGGGAUUGCCCAGAAGUGAGAUUUUGCGAGAAAGCGUACCAGGUGACCUGCCUUAUAAUCAUGGUUUUUUAAUCGCAGGCGUUAUACAAAAUUUUAAGGAAAAAAUGGGGAUGCAGCUGCAAACCUUGCACAUGAUGCCAUUCCGGGUAAUGUUAACGAAUUCCCCACUGUGCUUAAUAUAAAUAGAAGUUCUUAUAGUUGCAGACUACAGUGUGAUGAUUGAGAUCCAUUCUUUUUCUGGUCCUUCCCCUUUUAUAUAGCAAAGUGAAUUGGCAUCAAUGCCCUCUGGCAAUGGUGAUAAAUAGAUACAAAAGUAUCCAUAUAGUAAAUGCUCCAUUUAUUACAUAUGUACUCAUAAACAGGCUAGAACUUUAGCUUCCUAGCCAACAUAUUGAUAUCUUAACUCUGGUCGACCAUAUUAAUUGGAUCUAUAUUAAUUCCAGCAAUUACAUAAGUUGUGCCUUAUGUCUUCCAAUCAGUAUAAGUUAUUGAUCCAUGCCCCUAGCUAGGUCUUGUCGUGAAAUGCGGGUUUUUGCGGUUACUCUAAUGCUAUGCUUGCAGAUUAAUUAGACAUUUAACCAUUGGGGCGUCACUGCUACAAUGGCGCAGCAAUUGAUUGCUUGAAUUGAAAGACCUCCAUAUAUAUUGCAAUGAGCAUGCAUGUUUCUGUUCAAACCAAAUGGUAUGUACCUGUUUAAAUGCAACACAAAUCCAAAUGGAAUUCGUAUAUAUACAAACUGAUUGUAUGACUAAAAUCCUCGUGGCCAAUUCUACUGAUCGAGGCAGAUAAGUGGGCUAAUUUAUAAUAAUUUUUACUUACGAAUUAUAGGAAGGUGAAUGAAUAUAUAGGCUUGACUAUCAUGAUACUGCCAGACCACUAAGCUAAUGUAUAGUUACAUAUUUGAGCAGUAGCCGGCCACGGAAAUUACGUAGACUUAUACACAUAUAAAAUUUUAGAAAAUGCAAUUUGCAGUAUAUAUGUAUGAUCUCCUCUCCACUAUAUAUAGAUAUUAUAUAUACAGAUCGAUGGAUCAUAAAAAGGCCAAUUAUUUUAACAAACACAUAAAUCAUAUUGAAUAUAUAUGUAUGAUCUCGUAAUUUUUGCUGUGCUUGGUUUUAAGUUUUUGUAAUCCUUGAGUGAUGAAUAUCUGAAUACAGAUGUUCUUAGUAUAUAUAUUACACGUGAUCUGCACACAACAAAAGAUAAAUGUAUAUAUAUACAUAUAUAUGUCCGUGUGUUUAGCUCUAAUAACAUGCGCUCAAUUUGCAUCCUGAAUAUAAUAAAAACAUCUUAAAACUUUGUUAGAAGAUUAGUUAUGAUUAAUUAUUAUUUUCUGAAGAGUACCAGUUUUAAUUCUAUUUUUUUAUUAAUUGAUUGUAAUUAAUCACUGAUGUAUUUUUUUAAUCAACACUAUGUAUGGGAUUGGACUAGAGAAAGACUGCUGCAUUUUAAAACUCGAUUCCUCCUUUUCUCAAGCACAAAACAUAUAUGUAAAAGAUAACAGUUCCCUAUCAAAUAAACUUUCGUUAUGGAAAGAAAAAUGCAACCCAUGCACGAUAAUUAUUUUCAAUGGAUUACAGCGUGAGUUUAUAUGUAAGAGUAUGAAGUUAUUUUGUCUCAAUUUUUCAAUCGACCAAAAGAUGAGGACAUUUUAUUGUACUUGUUUUGGAAUGUGCAAUUCUAGAACAUACAAAAUACAUUUAAUCAAGUAUUGCCAACAUCUGAUAGCAUAAGAGUUAUACUCGACCAUUUUCAUUUUAUGUCAGUCUCUCCCGAGCUUCCUACAUGCAGAUACAUACACAUAUACAUAUGUAUGUACACAUUCUGAGUUUGGAGUUUCAUCGUCACUUCAAAUAAUCCCAUGGGGUGAAUGAUUGACAGAGCCAUUGACAUAUCGAAUGCUCACAUAACUUGGAAAUUAAAGAUAUCAUAUAAAUCUCCUUGGAACCCAAAAAAAAGAUAUCAUAUGAAUCUAUUUUACUUCAUCUGUCAAAUAGUAAUAUACAUUAUAAAAACUCACAAGAAGCGCCUCAUGGUUAGGGUCGAACAAUGCUCAAAUAAGAUGAGUAUCAACCAAUAAAUUGAGAAUACCCGUAAUCUCAUUGAAAAUAUGUACCUCAUGCAUUUCAAAGAAUCUCAUCAUAAUUGGAUUGUUUUUUUUUCCCCUGAUAAGUACUUGGGGUUGUAUUCUAUUAUUUGCUUUCUGUCUUGUUCUCCUUUCUUUUUCUUUCUAGACUAGACCCGAUCUAAUUUUUGCUUUAUGACAUAAAUUCUUGCAAAGAAAUGUGAUAUUUGAGAAAAGUUUUGGAAAGACUUUGCCUUUUCUCUUUAUUUAUCUUGACUUGUACAUAAUAGUGCGUAUAUAGCAUGCAUGCACCAAUAUGUAGCUGAGUAGGGGGACAUCCAAUCUCCAUGUCUUCUCAUUAUUACAAGCAUUUCACUUCUUAGUACCCGGUAUCCAUCGGAAAGUUCCCACUAAAACAAGAUAGAUUGAUUGAACAAGAGAGAGAGAGAGGAUAGAAUUUUUCGAGGAAAUUCUACGCUUCAUAAAGCCUUCCUGCACAAAAUCGACAUUUAUUCUCUUCUCUGAAUUACUUUUUCACGUCCUUUAACUCCACGAAAGCCGAUUGGCUAGAGUCUAGCUAGAAGUAUUCGGAUACCAUGGACAAACAUCCCUUUAUGGAUUAUCGGUUCCAAAUGAUAGUUAAUUACGUAAUGGAUCAUAUCGUUGCUUUAUUAAUAUUGACGCGAUGGUUAAUUGAUCGAAUUAUCAUCAUCAUCUUACAACCUUCUAGUUGUGAGUAAUAUGUCACUCACCCUUUUUAGUUAUCGUAUUUUUCCUCUGCCGGCGUACAUUAUCUACAUCUUUGCCACGUUCCGUAAUUACGUAACCCAGUAGAUAUUUACUUACCCUGUGCAUCACAUCAUCAAAAAUUGUUAAGCUUUACAAGUUAUUAUAUAUCGGUUAGCAGCAUCAAGACAACUAUAGAGAGGUAUAAGAAGGCUAGCUCAGACAGUUGGAACACGACUUCUGUUUCAGAGAUCAAUGCUUAGGUAAUAUUUACGUGUGGCCGUUGUCUGAUCUAGUUAUUACAAAAGAUCGAAAGCAAGCAGCAGAUUUCGUCUUUCCUUCUCUAGAUUUGCACAUUUUUUCCUAUAAGUAACUGAUUUAUAUAUUUUGUGCAGUUCCUUCCAUGCACAAUAUAUGACAUAUCUCUAAUUUAUCUUUUUGUAUAUGUGCAGUAUUAUCAACAAGAAUCAGCCAAGCUGAGGCAGCAGAUACAGAUGCUGUAACAGAUAAAUUACUUUCCCAAAGAUUUUUCCACUUUCCUCGAAAUCGACAAAUUCGGCAAACAAUAUCACAGUAGAACUAUACUAUGUAUGCACUACUUACAAAGAAUGAAGUUCUACAAACAGAAAUAUCGUACGCCAAUAAGGUAUCAUAAAACAUUAUGUGACCCGGCUUUGUGCUGAUUAUAUAGUGCAUAUUAUGCAUGGCAGGCAUUUGAUGGGAGAUUCUUUGAGUGCCCUUUCUGUGAAGGAACUGAAGCAGCUCGAGAACAGGCUCGAGCGCGGAAUCACCAGAAUUAGGUCCAAGAAGGCAACCCUUAUAUGAUCUUUUUCUUUUAGUGCAAUCCCCUAAUCAUGAAAUGCUGCUUGCUGAGAUUGAGUACUCGCAGAAAAAGGAGAUUGAGAUGGAAAAUGAAACUGUGUACCUUUGCACCAAGAUAGCUGAGAUAGAGAGGAUGAAGCACGUGAACAUGGUUCCAGGCCAGGAGAUGAAUGCGAUUCAGGUGUUGGCUUCCCGCAAUUUCUUCCGUCCCAAUAUGUUGGAGGGUGGAAAUUCCUACUCUCAUCCCGAUAAGAAACUCCAUCUCGGGUAGUAGAAGUCCCCCGAGUUGAUUCCAGAUAAAGGCAUCCCUUGUGUGCGAAGUACGUAUGGUUAUAAUUUAUAAUAAUAGUUGUUCAAUGAAGGGUUAGCGUGGUGUUUUGAGUGUGUAAUUAAAGCUGCAACGAAGUCUAUAAACAUCCUGCAGCUCCUGAAUUAGUGCGGCCAUCGGACUAAUUGGACAAUAUGUAAGGCUCUGUGUUUGUGUGCAUUUUGUAUGUACUACUGAUGAAUGAACUAUACAUAUGAGAGAUUAUUCUAUGUUUA